UACGAAGGGGCUAGCGUUGCUCGGAAUCACUGGGCGUAAAGGGUGCGUAGGCGGGUCUUUAAGUCAGGGUGAAAUCCUGGAGCUCAACUCCAGAACUGCCUUUGAUACUGAGGAUCUUGAGUCGGAGAGGUGAGUGGAACUGCGAGUGUAGAGGUGAAAUUCGUAGAUAUUCGCAAGAACACCAGUGGCGAAGGCGGCUCACUGGCCCGAUACUGACGCUGAGGCA
rnacentral:rRNA from 1 species